AGUGGCGAACGGGUGAGUAAUAUAUCGGAACGUACCUUAUUGUGGGGGAUAACGCAGCGAAAGCUGUGCUAAUACCGCAUAAUCCCUAAGGGGGAAAGCGGGGGACCGUUAGGCCUCGCGCAAUUAGAGCGGCCGAUACCUGAUUAGCUAGUUGGUGAGGUAAAGGCUCACCAAGGCAACGAUCAGUAGCUGGUCUGAGAGGACGAUCAGCCACACUGGGACUGAGACACGGCCCAGACUCCUACGGGAGGCAGCAGUGGGGAAUUUUGGACAAUGGGGGCAACCCUGAUCCAGCAAUGCCGCGUGAGUGAAGAAGGCCUUCGGGUUGUAAAGCUCUUUUGUCAGGGAAGAAACAGCAGCUCUAACACAGUUUGCGAAUGACGGUACCUGAAGAAUAAGCACCGGCUAACUACGUGCCAGCAGCCGCGGUAAUACGUAGGGUGCAAGCGUUAAUCGGAAUUACUGGGCGUAAAGCGUGCGCAGGCGGUUAUGUAAGACAGGCGUGAAAUCCCCGGGCUUAACCUGGGAAUUGCGCUUGUGACUGCAUAGCUAGAGUAUGUCAGAGGGGGGUAGAAUUCCACGUGUAGCAGUGAAAUGCGUAGAGAUGUGGAGGAAUACCUAUGGCGAAGGCAGCCCCCUGGGAUAAUACUGACGCUCAUGCACGAAAGCGUGCGGAGCAAACAGGAUUGGAUACCCUGGU
rnacentral:rRNA from 1 species